rnacentral:rRNA from 1 species
UACGUAGGCGGAAAAUUAAGUCAGUAGUGAAAUCCUGCAGCUUAACUGUAGAACUGUUAUUGAUACUGGUUUUCUUGAAUAUAGUUGAGGUAGGCGGAAUGUGUAAUGUAGCGGUGAAAUGCUUAGAUAUUACACAGAACACCGAUUGCGAAGGCAGCUUACUAAGCUAUGAUUGACGCUGAGGUACGAAAGCGUGGGGAGCGAACAGGAUUAGAUACCCUGGUGGUCC